AGAAAGUUUCCUCAUCGACUGACAGCACUUAAUCUGAAGUCAGCAUCUGGAAAUCUGACACAAUGAACCGUCCACAGGGCUACAUAGAAGACUCACUGAGGGUCACAACAGUAAAAUGUCUGAGGCUGAUGCAAUAGUGUACUCUGAUGUUAAGUUCCCAAGACCGAAGAUAAACACCAGUGGGACCGUUUCCUCAGAGGCUGAACCCACAUACUCUGAAGUCAGGAUCUUGAAGACUCAGCCAUCCACAGAGCUCCCUGUUGUCCCCAGUGUUCGCUCCAUGUUCCACUCUCUACCUGCCUUCCUGAUCCUUUGUUGGUUGACAUCCAAGUUAUAAGUGCACACACACACACAAAAACAACACACUGUAUCCUCCGUGUUUUACAUCAUAUAGUCCUACCAUAGAAUCCCUAUAAAUAUCUAUAAAUAUCAGCCACCCUAUCACCUAUUCCUGUUUAUCCUUCCUAUCCUAUAGAAAACCCCUGUAUCCCUUCAAAAAGCCAACAAUACCCUAACAUGUGCUCUCUCACCCAUGCAAUCCUUUUAAUGUGUACCCCUAAUUCCCUCAUUUUACUACAACUGAAAACUAUAUGCUCCACGGACACUUCCUGGCAUCCCUCACAUAAGCUUGUCUGUCCCAAAUCACUUUCCUGUGUCCACUAAUCGUGAGCUGUGGGGAUGUGUGGCCCAGGUAAUCACAGCUGUUUUCAUACAGUGUCACAGCAAACUCACAACAUGGAAUAUAAAAACAGCAAAUCCAUAACACCAUGCAAUAAAUCAAUAAAACAAUUUAAUGUAAAACUAAUUAAAACAACACUCUGACUGGUAAAAUCCACACUCUGAGUACCACACUCUGCAACUGGAUAUUGGACUUCAAAAAACAGACCCCAGACAGUUCGGAUUGGAAGUCACACCUCCUCCACUCUUGUGCUCAACACUGGAGCUCAUCAUGGCUAUGUGCUCAGCCCCCUCCUGUUUAUACUGUACAGCCAUGACUGCAUCCCCUGACAUGGAGACAACUCUGUUGUGAAGUUUGCAGAUGACACCACCAUCAUCGGCCGGAUUUCCAACAAUAAUGAGACUUCAUAUCAGGAAAUCAAAAGUCUUGCAAAGCAGUUCACAUAAAACAACCUACUGUUCAACGUCAGCAAAACAAAGGAGCAGAUUGUGGAUUUUAGGAAAAAAGAGACAGACACACACCCCUGUUUGCUGAGGUGGAGCUGAGGUGGAGCAGGUGAACAAUUUUAAGUUGCUGGGAAUUAACAUCACAGAGAACCUGUCAUGGUCAUGUCACAUCUCCACUCUGGUUAAGGAAGCACAGAAACGACUGUAUUUCUUAAGAAAACUUGAGAAAGCAAAAUUCAUAUGCCAAGUUCUUGCUGACUUCUACAGAGGAGAAACAAAAAGCAAGCAACUGGAA
rnacentral:lncRNA from 15 species